rnacentral:lncRNA from 10 species
AUGGGAAGAUUGUGGGUGGAAACUGUUUGGGGAAGAAUAUUAAAGUUUGCUUUCGGUGACUUGAGUUUGAUCCCCAAGCGAAGACAUCCAGGAGGCGUUGGACCUGAGCAUUUGGAGUUGGGAGAGGUAUCUGGGCUGGGGGGGCAUACGAGGGACCAUUGGGGUACAGAUGGUGUUAAAAGCCAGAGACUACAUGAAAUGGGUGAAGGCGGGGUGCAGAUGGAGAAGUGAAAAAGUGCAAGGACCAAGCUCUACGGCACCCCCAGAGGUCUGGGGGACAAGGAGGGAUCAGCAAAGUAGAGUGAUGAGGAACUACAGGUGAGGUGAAAGGAAACUCAGGGCAAUGUGGUGUCCUGGCAGCAAGUGUGGUGAGGAUGGUGAGGAAGAGAGCAAGGAGGCCAGUACCAAAUGCUGCUAGGGGUCGAGUUAAAGGAGGACUGAGAAGUGACCAUUGGAUUUAGUAAUGGGGAGGCCAUUUGUUACCCUGACAAGAGUAGAGGUGUUAAAGCCCACUUGGAUGGGUUAACAGAGAAGGGAAGGGAGGAACUGGAGACAGAAGAGAGGAACAGGCAGUAGUUCAUAGGGAACUGGGUCAAGAGGGUUUUUUUUUUGUUUUUCAUUUUUUAAGUGAGAGUGAUAAUAGCAUUUUUGUGUGAAGAUGAGAAUAAUACAAUGAGAAGAGGAAUUGUUGAUGCCAGAGAGAAAGGAGAGCUGCUGGAGCAAUGCCCUAGAGUAGGUGGGAUGAGAUGGGAUCUAUAUGCAGGUGGGAGGUUGGCAUUAGAUGGGUGCACAGACAGGCCAGCUAUUGUGUCAGGUGGGAGGCGGCACAUGUGGGUGAUGAUGCUGGCAGGUAUGAGUCUAAUGAUUUUCCUGAUGGCUUCAAUUUUCCCUGUGAAAUAGGAAACUAAGAACUGGAGAGAAGAUAUCAGAGGCUUAAGGAGAGUGGAUAAGAGAAUCCAGCCAGGACUGUGAAGCCCCAGGGAAUGGCUGCACUUCAAGUCAGAAGGAGCCUGGGUCCCUGAAUCAUCAUGUGGAAGGCUCUCCACCCAGUUCAAUGGUGCAAUGGACCACAAGCAGGAACUUAAUUUAGAAUGUGCUUAUUUUGUUAGAUUUUGUAAUUAAAAAAUGGAUCCCACUCUGACUGAAUCAGAGAUGUUGAAGUCAUUGAUCUGGGAGGGUAUGUUCCUGGGAGUGGGUGGCUGAGGUGAGAUUUCAAACAAGGUUGUUGAGGAAGAGGAGUUCAAGUGACUGAGAGGACAUAUUGUUGGAUAAAUUGUGCGUGCGUGUGUGUGUGUGUGUGUGUGUGUGUUGAAAUCACCAAGAAUAGGGAAAGAAGUGUAUAAGAGAGUGUGGCAGUGAGCCCAGAGCUAAAAGAAAUCAUGAGCAGGGAGUAAUUCACGAGCAGAAAGUAGAAGCAACGAGAGGCAGUUAAUGAGAGAAGCAGCUGAGGGAUUUUAGCAAGGGAUGGG